UAAAACACAGGAAAUGACUAUCUGGAGUCAUCAGAAGAGUAAUUUGCCUUGGUGUCAGCAACAGAUCUGCACUGAGAUUGCUAUGAAAGUUAGCCUACAACAGGAUCUACUUUCUCUAUUCUACUCUAGGUUUAGGCAGUGUUUAGUAUAACUGCCAUGUAACAAAGCAUACAAUGUACAACAGGAUGUUCCCUUGACACAUGGACACCACCCUUGCCUCCGUAAAGGGAAAAUUGGGGCAUUAAAUCUGCACUGACACUGAUCAGCAAACAGGUAAUCCUUGGUUCACAGCUGGGCAUGGAAGACCAGUAGAGAAAACAAUAGCUCUGCAAUGCAGUGACAGGAUGUCCAGUUAGCAGGGGGUGUACACUGGAGCUAAUUCAGUGAUGUCAACUUGGACCUAUGUGUAGGGCAGAACCAAUCAUCUCCAGCAGAGAGGAGGGAGCUAAUUCCCAUUACACCAAAUGUCAGCCCUAUCCAGUUUCACCAUACUGCCCAGAAGGUGUACAUUUGACCCAAGGGUACCAAGUCUGACAUCUUGACCAGACUCUGGCCAAGCAGAACAGCUGCCCAUUGUGAGAGACAGAGAACAGUUGUACACACAGGCUACAUGUGCAUGUGUGGAAAAGAUCCUCUAUGUUAUUGUAACCUAGUGCCUAUGAAGAAGCCAGCUGGUUACUUUGCAAGCACAUUUAUAUAAUAUGCUUCAAAUUUAGAUUGUUAGACAUAAAUGUUUUUAUGCAAACUGCGCAAAGUGUGCUUCUCCUCAUACAUUUCAAAUAAUUGUAAAUGUUUAACCUUUUUAACCACUACAGCACUUUUUUUCACUGGAAUUAAGACAUUCAAAUAUUUUGAAAAUGAUGUUACAAAUAAUUUGUUUGCAUCAUUAAAGAUGCCAGCUGCGUAAAGCUGUACUAAUUAUUUCUCUACAACUCAUUCUCUCAGAAUGUUUCAAACUAUUGGUUGCAGAUGUUGUAAAGGUUGAAGAAUUAGGGUAUGUUGGCUUUUUGUUUGCUUUACUGUUGG